rfam:Eutrema salsugineum unplaced genomic scaffold scaffold_1, whole genome shotgun sequence.
AGAAUGAGGUUGAGCCAAGGAUGACUUGCCGAUUUCUUUACCAAUGAAUCUAAAAUGAUUAAUUUUGGUGUUCGGCAAGUUGACCUUGGCUCUGUUUCCUUCUCU